rnacentral:rRNA from 1 species
CCAGCGCCAGCUCAGCCUGAGCUGGCAGGCCAACACCCCCUGGUCCAACCAGAACCAGACCCACGACCUCUACCGCAGCCGCUCGGGACCCAACGGGCCC